rnacentral:tRNA from 1 species
AGAGGUAUAGCUGAGUGGUAGAGCACAUGUUUAGUAUCCAUGAGGUUAUUGGUUCCAUCCCAAGCACUCCUG